GACGAACGCUGGCGGCGUGCUUAACACAUGCAAGUCGAACGGUGAAGCGCCUUCCUUUUUGGUGGGUGUGGAUGAGUGGCGAACGGGUGAGUAACACGUGAGUAACCUGCCCCCUUCUUCUGGAUAACCGCAUGAAAGUGUGGCUAAUACGGGAUAUUCUGGGUCUGUCGCAUGAUGGGUCUGGGAAAGAUAUUGUUUCGGGGGGGGAUGGGCUCGCGGCCUAUCAGCUUGUUGGUGGGGUGAUGGCCUACCAAGGCGGUGACGGGUAGCCGGCCUGAGAGGGUGGACGGUCACACUGGGACUGAGACACGGCCGAGACUCCUACGGGAGGCAGAAGUGGGGAAUAUUGCACAAUGGGCGCAAGCCUGAUGCAGCGACGCCGCGUGAGGGAUGGAGGCCUGCGGGUUGUGAACCUCUUUCGCCAGUGAAGCAGGCCUGCCUCGUUUGUGGGUGGGUUGACGGUAGCUGGAUAAGAAGCGCCGGCUAACUACGUG
rnacentral:rRNA from 1 species